AUUGGGUAUCCAUUAACGUCUGAGAUUUCACAAGGAAAUGAGUUUCUUUCAUUCUCAUGUUGAAAAGAAUUAUAAAGAAACCAAGCAGAAUAUGAUGUCAAACUUUUAAGUUAUUAUUGGGUGGCCACCUAUCAAGGUUUGCUGAAAGUUAUGAACUUGCUUUUCAAAAGGCUUUGUAUUCUGCAUCUUUAUUUGUGCAAGAAAUCCAAUUGGAAUUGGUCUGUUGUCCUGUGCAUGUACUUUCUUUUGUUGCUUAUAUAUUUCAACCACUUAUUUAUGUUGUCCUGUGCAUGUACUUAUUUAUGUACUUCUGUCUGGGAUACUGCAUGGCUACCCUCUAAUGCACUGCUCAGCCUUCAGUCUCUUUCUGUACAAUUGACUUAGGGAAAAACCCACUGUUUCCUAUCCUUUUCUGAGCAGCGAGAUCUAAUUAUUAUGAAAGACAUCAGUAGUGUGUUGCUUUCUAUAUAAAUGACUUGCUCUAAUUCUGAUUUAUCAGACCGUGUGGCUUCUGUUCUAAUCCUUUUUGCCAAACUUGAUGCGUCGAGUUUUGAGCUACUAUACCACUUUGGAUCUUGUGCUUGGGCCGGGCAACUACUGAAAUGGAAAUGUGUUGGAGCGAUUAUGUGUUGCAGUGUGUUCAAGUUGAUCUGGAACAAAUUGAAGUGUUUCCUCGACACAAAAUCUUCAGCCAAGGUUUCUUAAGCACCUGUAUAGAAGUUUAAAAUUGUAAUUGUUUCAGGUUCUUCGCCACAUUAUGUAUGCUUUGUUAUUUUUUUUAAUAAUUGGACCUAUUUGCUAUGUGGAACAUGUAGCAUUUACUUGAUCAUAAUAUAAUUCAAUAUUUGACCACGGUCUUUUGGCUCUUGCUUUCAACAUAUGCAGUAUCGGUUAGUCAUUUUCUUGACACAACACUUUAGGCAACGGCUCAGACUUCUUGAGCCAGUCUCUAUUUAUUGUCGAUACAUCUUUCAAAAUAAACGAACAAUGUUUCCUCCAUAUAUGAAUGACACAAUGACUCUAUGCAUUUUUUCCAGUCAACUGAUCAUUCUAAGCCUCAUCCUGUAUUCAAUACAUUUAUGUUCCAUUGCUAACUAACGUUCGUUUGUGAUGUCUUUCUCGGGAUGGAAAUGUUCCUCGGCACCAUGACGAACAUCAACGGAGGAACAACCUUUUUAUUUUAUUUUCUGUUGCCUCUACUAUAUUGUUGCUGCCACAAAGAUUUACCUGGACAUGGAGCCAUCAUGAUGUGUUUAAAAAUGAUUACAUUAUCCUUUUCUAACCUGAUGGUGUUAGAAACAUCUUAGCAUUCGAGCAGGUUUAGUUCAUUGUUUAUUAAUUCCUAUUAUGUAAAAAAAUCACUGAUCAUCACUUGACAGAAAAUAUUUUGAUAUGCAAUCAUUUGCAUGGGCGAA